UACGAAGGGGACUAGCGUUGUUCGGAAUCACUGGGCGUAAAGCGCACGUAGGCGGGUGUGUCAGUCAGGGGUGAAAUCCCGGGGCUCAACCUCGGAACUGCCUUUGAUACAGCACGUCUCGAGUCCGGAAGAGGUGGGUGGAAUUCCUAGUGUAGAGGUGAAAUUCGUAGAUAUUAGGAAGAACACCGGUGGCGAAGGCGGCCCACUGGUCCGGUACUGACGCUGAGGUGCGAAAGCGUGGGGAGCAAACAGG
rnacentral:rRNA from 1 species